UACGUAGGGGGCUAGCGUUGUCCGGAAUCAUUGGGCGUAAAGGGCUCGUAGGCGGCCAACUAAGUCAGACGUGAAAUCCCUCGGCUUAACCGGGGAACUGCGUCUGAUACUGGAUGGCUUGAGUUUGGGAGAGGGAUGCGGAAUUCCAGGUGUAGCGGUGAAAUGCGUAGAUAUCAGGAGGAACACCCGUGGCGAAGGCGGCUCUCUGGGUCGGACCUGACGCUGAGGCGCGAAAGCGUGGGGAGCGAACGGG
rnacentral:rRNA from 1 species